AGAGGGAGACAAGCAAUGACAAAACACCAAAAACAAACUCUACUAAGGUCACAGAAACCUCCUCUUCACAAAAGAACCAGUCAGCAACGAAAAAUCUGUCUGAUGCAUGUAAACCUCUGAAGAAGCGAAAUCGGGCUUCAGCAGCAGAAUCUUCAACUCUUGCUUUUAGCAAAAGUUCAUCUCCUUCAGCUUCCUUAACUGAGAAUGAGAUCUUCGAUGGCCCAGGAGAUGAGCGCUCAGAGUCUCCCUAUGAAAGUGCUGAUGAAACUCAGACUGAAGUGUCUAUAUCAUCCAAAAAAUCUGAGCGAGGAACGGGAACAAAAAAAGAAUAUGUGUGUCAGCUAUGUGAAAAAACAGGUGAUCUCCUGCUGUGUGAAGGACUUUGCUAUCGAGCUUUUCACGUGAGCUGCCUUGGGCUCUCUGGAAGACCAGCAGGAAAAUUCGUUUGUAGUGAAUGUACAUCAGGCAAGUUUGUCCCUUUCUAUUAAAUUUUAAAAAGAAAAGGUAUCAUUUUCCCAUACACUGUUACAGGAAAUCAUCCCAUGCAGAUUGUGUAUCUGCGAACAAACUGUACUUACCUCUUGGUGCCUGAUGGUGUGGAAAUUCAUGUAUUACCAUUAACUGUGCCACGAUUUAGGAUGCUCGCUCUGUUUUCAGUGAGAAAUCUCUUGCAGAUUGGUUGACUUGCUCUGAAUUCCACUGUGUUAACAAUUGCAGGUUGUAUCUGUCUGUGUACAGUUACAGAGUAGAUUUAAGGUCUGCCACAAAGGCCUAAGAAAUCCAUGAAAAAAAAAGCAGCAAGUGAAACAUUUUAAGUCUUUUCUCAGUUCUUUUUGUGUCUACAUAUAUCUUUUGCUUUUCCCAUUAAAAGACCACCUUACUGCUAUUAAUUUAAUUUGCUUUUAAUCCUGCAAUAACUUCUUGGAAGCUCUUAAUCUCAAAAUGUUAUAUAAAAAUUUGUGUUCUUGCUUGUAAGCUCAGUUCAGUCAGGUGGUGAACCUUGCUGGAAAAAAAAAGACUGCUUCUAAAUAAGGUUGUUCCAAGCAGUCCAGAGAGCGGAUUGGAGGAUACUUGUCCUUAGUUUGUGGGCUUACAAACCAAAUUUUACAGGAUUGCAAACAAAGUAGGAUCCUGUUUCAUUGCUUUAAAAACAAAAUUCAGAGUUGUCCUGGCAUACUGAGAGUUAUGAAUAAGAACACAAAAGCAGAUCAGUGAGGCUUUGUGUAUGAUAUGCACACAUUAACUGUGGUGGAUUUCCACUGUAACUUUAUUUUUGUUGUGUUUUAUUUAUCUGUAUUUAAACAAAUGAGUAUUGAACACUGAAGAGUCAAAGCAGAUAAAUUGCUGCUUCAAAUAAUGGAAUUUAAAAA